rnacentral:ncRNA from 1 species
AAAUAGAUAAAUUUUUUAUAUUUUAUUUAAUUUAUUAUAAAUUUAUUUUACAUGUAAAUUUUAGUGUUAAAUUUUAAUUAUUUUAAUAAUAAUUAAUUUAAAAUUACAGUAAUUAAAAUUAAAAAUUUAAGAAAUUAAGAUUUAGUAAUAUUUAAAUUAAUAACUAAUUUUGUGCCAGCAGUUGCGGUUAAACAAAAGUUAAAUUAAAUUAUUUCAGUAUAUAAUAAAUAAUAUAAAAUUAAAUAAAAUAUUAAAUUAUUAAGUGAAAUUUUAAUUUAAUUAAAAUUUAUAUUAAAAUUAUGAUUUAAUAAAUUUUAUUUUAAACUAGGAUUAGAUACCCUAUUAUUAAAAAUUUAAUUUAAAAUACUAAAAUAGUAAAUAAAAUAUUAUUGAAACUUAAAUAAUAUGGCGGUAUUUUAGUUCAUUUAGAGGAAUCUGUCUGUUAAUUGAUAAUCCACGAAUAAAUUUACUUAAUUUAUAAUUUUGUAUAUCAUUGUUAAAAAAAUAUUUUUAAAUAAUAAUAAUAUUUUAAAAUUUAAAAUAAAAUUUAAUUCAGAUCAAGAUGCAGAUUAUAAUUAAGUUUAAGAUGGAUUACAAUAAAUUUAUUUAAAUGAAUAGAAUUUUGUAAAAUUUAAUUGAAGGUGGAUUUAAAUGUAAUUUUAAUUAAUUUAUUAAAAUGAUUAAAAAUUAAAAUAUGUACAUAUUGCCCGUCACUUUCAUUUUAAAAUUGAAAUAAGUCGUAACAAAGUAGAGGUACUGGAAAGUGUUUCUAGAAUGAA